rnacentral:rRNA from 1 species
AGUGAACGCUGGCGGUAGGCCUAACACAUGCAAGUCGAACGGCAGCACAGUAAGAUCUUGCUCUUACGGGUGGCGAGUGGCGGACGGGUGAGGAAUACAUCGGAAUCUACUUUUUCGUGGGGGAUCACGUAGGGAAACUUACGCUAAUACCGCAUACGACCUACGGGUGAAAGCAGGGGAACUUCGGACCUUGCGCGAUUGAAUGAGCCGAUGUCGGAUUAGCUAGUUGGCGGGGUAAAGGCCCACCAAGUCGACGAUCCGUAGCUGGUCUGAGAGGAUGAUCAGCCACACUGGAACUGAGACACGGACCAGACUACUGCGGGAGGCAGCAGUGGGGUAUAUUGGGCAAUGGGCGCAAGCCUGAUCCAGCCAUACCGCGUGGGUGAAGAAGGCCUUCGGGUUGUAAAGCCCUUUUGUUGGGAAAGAAAAGCAGCAGGUUGAUACCCAGCUGUUCUGACGGUACCCAAAGAAUAAGCACCGGCUAACUUCGUG